rnacentral:rRNA from 1 species
AGGUAAGCUACUAAGAGCGAAUGGUGGAUGCCUUGACUGGUAAAGGCGAUGAAGGACGUACUAGACUGCGAUAAGCUACGGGGAGCUGUCAAGAAGCUUUGAUCCGUAGAUUUCCGAAUGGGGCAACCCAAUGUAUAGAGAUAUACAUUACCUAUAUAGGAGCGAACGAGGGGAAUUGAAACAUCUUAGUACCCUCAGGAAAAGAAAUCAAUAGAGAUUGCGUCAGUAGCGGCGAGCGAAAGCGCAAGAGGGCAAACCCAGUGCUUGCACUGGGGGUUGUAGGACUGCAAUGUGCAAGAGCUGAGUUUAGCAGAACAUUCUGGAAAGUAUAGCCAUAGAGGGUGAUAGUCCCGUAUGCGAAAAACAAACCUUAGCUAGCAGUAUCCUGAGUAGGGCGGGACACGAGGAAUCCUGUCUGAAUCCGGGUCGACCACGAUCCAACCCUAAAUACUAAUACCAGAUCGAUAGUGCACAAGUACCGUGAGGGAAAGGUGAAAAGAACUGAGGUGAUCAGAGUGAAAUAGAACCUGAAACCAUUUGCUUACAAUCAUUCAGAGCCCUAUGUAGCAAUACAGGGUGAUGGACUGCCUUUUGCAUAAUGAGCCUGCGAGUUGUGGUGUCUGGCAAGGUUAAGCAAACGCGAAGCCGUAGCGAAAGCGAGUCUGAAUAGGGCGCUUAGUCAGAUGCUGCAGACCCGAAACGAAGUGAUCUAUCCAUGAGCAAGUUGAAGCUAGUGUAAGAACUAGUGGAGGACUGAACCCAUAGGCGUUGAAAAGCCCCGGGAUGACUUGUGGAUAGGGGUGAAAGGCCAAUCAAACUUCGUGAUAGCUGGUUCUCUCCGAAAUAUAUUUAGGUAUAGCGUUGUGUCGUAAUAUAAGGGGGUAGAGCACUGAAUGGGCUAGGGCAUACACCAAUGUACCAAACCCUAUCAAACUCCGAAUACCUUAUAUGUAAUCACAGCAGUCAGGCGGCGAGUGAUAAAAUCCGUCGUCAAGAGGGAAACAACCCAGACUACCAGCUAAGGUCCCUAAAUCUUACUUAAGUGGAAAACGAUGUGAAGUUACUUAAACAACCAGGAGGUUGGCUUAGAAGCAGCCAUCCUUUAAAGAAAGCGUAAUAGCUCACUGGUCUAGUGAUUUUGCGCGGAAAAUAUAACGGGGCUAAAGU